CCGUUACAGCAACACAAAACGGACUAAGACACUUGGGUUACUUUCACCUUUUGGCUACUGUGAAAAAUGCUACUAUGAACAUGCAUGUACAAAUAUCUCCUCAGGUCCAUGCUUUCAAUUAUUUUGGGUAUAUGCUAAGAAUUGCUGAAUCACAUGAUAAUUCUAUUUUUAAUUUUUUGGGGGCCCACCAUACUGUUUUCUAUAGCUAUUGCACCAUUUUACAUUCCCAUCAACAGUGCACAAGAGUUCCAAUUUCUCCAUACCUUUGCCAACAUUUAUUAUUUUCUGGGUUUUGGUAGUAGCCAUCCUAAUGGGUUUGAGGGGGUAUCCC
rnacentral:lncRNA from 1 species